rnacentral:rRNA from 1 species
UACGUAGGGGGCUAGCGUUGUUCGGAAUUACUGGGCGUAAAGGGCUCGUAGGUGGCCAACUAAGUCAGACGUGAAAUCCCUCGGCUUAACCGGGGAACUGCGUCUGAUACUGGAUGGCUAGAGGUUGGGAGAGGGAUGCGGAAUUCCAGGUGUAGCGGUGAAAUGCGUAGAUAUCUGGAGGAACACCGGUGGCGAAGGCGGCAUCCUGGACCAAUUCUGACGCUGAGGAGCGAAAGCCAGGGGAGCAAACGGG